UAGAGAAUCUGAGUCAGUGUAUUUU
rnacentral:piRNA from 1 species